rnacentral:misc_RNA from 1 species
UGUGAUGAAAUUGGAACGCCAUAAAAUUGAUAGAUUUUAUUUUUUUUCUUCUUUCGGUUUCCAGAUUAUUGGAAGGCAAUUUUGAUUUUUGUUGCUGUUCAAUCGAUUUUAGUAACUUGAGCUAUGGGAAAGAGGAAGGCAAAAUCGAAGCCACCUCCAAAGAAGAGGAUGGACAAACUUGACACUGUUUUCAGCUGUCCUUUCUGUAGCCAUGGCACCAGCGUGGAAUGUCGCAUUGAUAUGAAAAACUUGAUUGGUGAGGCAAAUUGCAGAAUCUGCCAAGAGAGCUUCAGCACCACUGUCACAGCGCUAACAGAACCUAUUGAUAUAUAUAGUGAAUGGAUCGAUGAGUGUGAACGAGUCAACAACUACGAAGAAGAAGACGUUUCUUAUAGAUCCUGAUGAACUGCUCAGGACUAUGCGCGUAGACCAUUGGCAAUAGUUCUGUCUCACUGCCUCAGAAGACUGCGAAACUCAUCUAGGCGUCGCUGGAGUGUAAUAAGUAAACUCCAUUUAAAGAGGCUUUCUAUGUCUAAAUAGUUUGAAAUAGACGCAGAACCUAUCUUGUUUAUAUUCUGCUUGUGCAAGUAGUUUCUAUGGAAUCGGAUUAACGACGUAUCUACCUAAUGUCAAGUAGUUUCUAUGGAAUCG